rnacentral:rRNA from 1 species
CCUACGGGGGGCUGCAGUGGGGAAUAUUGGGCAAUGGGCGCAAGCCUGACCCAGCAACGCCGCGUGAAGGAAGAAGGCUUUCGGGUUGUAAACUUCUUUUCUCAGGGACGAAGCAAGUGACGGUACCGGAGGAAUAAGCCACGGCUAACUACGUGCCAGCAGCCGCGGUAAUACGUAGGUGGCAAGCGUUAUCCGGAUUUACUGGGUGUAAAGGGCGUGUAGGCGGGGACGCAAGUCAGAUGUGAAAACCACGGGCUCCACCUGUGGCCUGCAUUUGAAACUGUGUUUCUUGAGUACUGGAGCGGCAGACGGAAUUCCUAGUGUAGCGGUGAAAUGCGUAGAUAUUAGGCGGAACACCAGUGGCGACGGCGGUCUGCUGGACAGCACCUGACGCUGAGGCGCGACAGCGUGGGGAGCAAACAGGAUUAGAUACCCUUGUAGUC